UGCAGAGAUACUGUUCGUCAGCGGAGGAAGUGGAAACUUUAUAUAACAAAAGUACAUCUAUCAAUGAAUAGGAGAAAAAACCUUUCUUACGUUCUUCUCAUAAUAUUUAACCAAUUACAAAGCCAAACCAGUGUCAAUUACUUCGACGAUUUUCCUCGCUAUUCAAGACGUACGUAAACAUUGUACAGAAGUAAACAUUUGAACUCGCAUUUUUCGUUUGAAAUGAAUCGUCUGAGAAGGUUUAGACGGACGUCGCCUCAUUUCAGGUUCUACUAUACAUUUUGUACUACUACUACGUAUUUAUACAACUAUGUUCGUUUUAUAUUUAUAUGUUGCGCAAUCGACGCACAAAGUACGCGAUUUCCAUAUUUGCUAUUCGAAAGUGUCUUCCAUCUACGGGCAAUUUCCAAGAACUACGUAAUAAUUACGAGCCUAAGCAUCACCGUGGACGAAAGAUCGUCGAACGAAAAAACGCGAUAACUAUUUACGUUUCCAUACGUUCAUUUGUCUGCUAAUUUUCUCGGACGUUAACGACGCGCGCAUUCUUAGGCAUUGCCGGCGUAUUCCGAUACGAGAGAGUACGUUCAAUCAAAUUUACAAGCUACCCGUAUGAAUCAGAUUUUAAUUGCAUCCGCAUAUAUGUAUUAGGUAGAACGUGUCGCGUCGAUACGAAAUUUAUGAAUCAUGCUUGGCAAGGUUUCUGCUUCAUUAUCGCCUCUGCAAAUGACUAUUCUCAACGGCGUGUCGAGAUACAAUCUGGAGGCAACAAUCGUCGCUGUUAAAAUUGUCAAGUUGAAUGGAACGACUGGACAUAUUUCUCGAAACUUGGGAACCGCUUGGGGACCUUUGUUCAUUUCUCCACUUCUCGCUACGACGCAACGCGAUGGAUGCGCCGAAUGAUAAAACGUAUCAACUCGAGGAUAUACCAGUGCUCAAAGGUCAAACUAUCCACGAAACGGGCAAUUGGCUUGGCUGUUCGUCUAAAGCUUAGGAUUGGUCAAAGCGGUAGCAGUUUUGCUCUCGAGUCGGCGCGAAGGGAAGCGUAACGUCAUAAGUGAUAUACAAUGAUGUAGUACACCUGUAUCGGAUCAUAAAUUCCAGACCCUUUAACGAGUCGCUGGCAGAAAACAAGGCAGAAGAGAGGAGCGCAUUACGCGUCGAGGCUGGUAAAUCGGUGGAUAACGCCUCGGUAAUAAUAUCGGCGAGCCAAUCAAACGGGCAACUAACCAAUCAAUCAACGGGAGUCUAGCAACCAACUAACCCAAGCAACGAAACAACCAACGAACCAACUUGCCUACCUAAGCUACCUAGGAGGGAGAGAUGCGCGAGCUUGUUCGCGCACCAUAUAUGGCCAUCAGCGCGCGGCCUGAACUCGUGCUGCGCUUCCACCGGAGAUUCUCACAAAUUUACGCAGGGCUAUGUGUUUCCCCGGGUGACUUUCUCUCCCCCAGGUCUGGCAGCCACCACCGGAUACUUUUUUCCCUGGGCGAACCGUCGCGUCGCGGAAACCUAUGCGUUAUACAUGCAUUUCGACUCCCUCGUUAGGACGCGUACACAUGUCGCGAGGGGACCGAGGAUCGCGUAUGCAUCGAGAGAAAGCAAAUCGCGUCCCGCUCAGACCGCUACCAGAGAUUAGGAAGGCAGCUCGUCUUUCGAUGGAUCACGCGGCUACUCCGGUGGCGAGCGAUCCUCUCGUUACCAAACCAUCGAUUUCAUGCGAGAGGCGUACCAUCCACGGGGACCGCGAUGGACCCUCUUCUUAUGGAAAAGCGAUCCUGGUCGAUUUGUUUCCUGGCUUUCGAGACGCUGUCCACGCAUCCAAAACCGAUGCUCCCGUGCACGUCCAUCACAGGAGGAAGAAAAGCAAAACGAAGCGUUCUUCGACCUGGAGGGGCAGAGAGAGAGAGAGCAAGAAAGAGGAGCUUCCGCGAAGCUCGAAUCGUUUCCACGUCGCAAGCUUGGCUCUGACCGAGAUGGGCAAAAUUGUAUUCCAAUAAAAACCCCGUAUAGUGAUUUAUUAGCGACGUUUAUUCGAUUGAACAGUUAUACAGAUCAGUUUUUACCCGUUCAACGCGCGGUGCUGCGGUUGGACUGGUACCGUGUACCGCCUAAAAAUCGUACGGGGUCUUCGGCGUACCUGCAAGACUUCGUAAAGAACUUCUGGGCAAUAUUGUAUUUAUGCGAUCCGUCGGCAUCGGUAUUAUAAUACUAGUUUUAUCGUAGAUCCAUAUGGUUAUCUCGUCGGUAUUUAUUUACCAUAAUGGAACGAAUCAAAAUCGAAUCAAAAUGGAAUCAAAAUGAAACGUAAAAGACUCUUUCUUUUAGAAUGUACAGAUCGAUAUCUCGGGAAAUUCCAUUUAUAACGUUUAAUUUUUCUUUCAGAAGAAGAAGCAAGGCCUACCGUGAUCUUUCCUAUAAUUACUCGUUAAUGUCAACGAUCCAACAAGUCCCGGGUGCCAUGAACGUCGACGUAACCGCGCGUGUUCGUAAAGGAUUUCCGAAAGCACGGAGGGCUGCGAAAGCGGCCCUUGUCCUGCAGAGGCAGGCGUUGUCGACAAUCACUUCCGAGUCGCAUUUGUACCCCCCAUUACCACGGGUGUGUAUAGAAGGCGCGACAAAAACCGGCAUUCCUGAUUCUUAAGUUGGACUCUAUAUAAGUAUCUGCCAUCGCGAACAUUGCCUGUAUAUGGCGACAACCAGGCUUUGACAAAGGUGACCGUAUAUGGUAUUCUGCUUCCACCUUCCAUACCUUCUCUCUCUCUAGCUCUCUCCCCGCCAUCUUUCUCUUUCCCUUCCCUUACAGCCCUCCUCUCCCACCUGUCUUCUUUGCCAUUCUCUCUAUCGCCCUGGCAGACUUCUUGCUACCGUUGUCCUCGUCGCUUCCUCGUGUCCGAUCCAUCGGGGUGCCUCCUCGACGAAAUGCAUCAUAAUCGUUAAGUCGUUAGAUCGUAAAUCAUGGCUUGGAACCCCCGUUGCAAU